GAUGAACGCUGGCGGCGUGCCUAAUACAUGCAAGUCGAGCGAACAGACGAGGAGCUUGCUCCUCUGACGUUAGCGGCGGACGGGUGAGUAACACGUGGAUAACCUACCUAUAAGACUGGGAUAACUUCGGGAAACCGGAGCUAAUACCGGAUAACAUGUUGAACCGCAUGGUUCAACAGUGAAAGACGGUCUUGCUGUCACUUAUAGAUGGAUCCGCGCCGCAUUAGCUAGUUGGUAAGGUAACGGCUUACCAAGGCAACGAUGCGUAGCCGACCUCAGAGGGUGAUCGGCCACACUGGAACUGAGACACGGUCCAGACUCCUACGGGAGGCAGCAGUAGGCAAUCUUCCGCAAUGGGCGAAAGCCUGACGGAGCAACGCCGCGUGAGUGAUGAAGGUCUUCGGAUCGUAAAACUCUGUUAUUAGGGGAGAACAAAUGUGUAAGUAACUAUGCACGUCUUGACGGUACCUAAUCAGAAAGCCACGGCUAACUACGUG
rnacentral:rRNA from 1 species